CAUUUUAUGUUUUGCUUUCAAACAAAUAAGUUGUGAAUAAAUCUUUAAAUACCCAAAACAUCUUUAUAGAAUUCCACCUAAAAUGUGUGAUAAAAUGAAUGUUUAUUAUGUCUAUAAACUUAUUUUCCAUAAAUUGUAUGCUGUUUAAGAAAUUAAGAUUUUUCUAAAGAAAAUUGGACUUCACUGAUGUCAUGAAUGGCUUUUCUUGAUGUGAUAUUACAAACUAAGGACUUUAACUGAAAAGUUUUGUCCUAAUGUUUUGGCAAAGGAGUUUAUCGGCCGACAGCACUGCUUGUUUACCAAGAUCACUUUUUUCUUGAGAGAAAACGUGAGAAGAGUUUUCGCAGAAAAAGUUUUAAAAGGUUACAAAACUUUUGAAAACACCCAGCGGCUGUUUAUUGCUACAAUUUUUUAAAAGAAAAUCUACUAAAAAUCUUGGCAACAACAUGCACACACGCAGGAAAGCUUGAUUCCCUGGAUAAAGCUAUACCGAAUGUUUUCAAGAGCCGCUGCCAGCUUAAAGCUAAUUGCUGCAGAAACCUUGUUCUUUACCAAUAGUUUAACAAUAAAAUCAAAAUAAAUUUUAAAGAAAAAAAGCAAAA